CCUGAGGGCCACACCCUUAUUGAUUUUGGGCCAACAACAACGUGGUGAACAAUGGUCUCUGGUAGACAAAGGGAACGACAGAACCCCGGUGAAGCGGUGGAGCAAAUCUCUCCAUAAAUCACACAGAUCUCAGUUCCGGAUUGUUAAGUCUGCAAACUCGCUCUACAAUGAAGUUAGGAAUCGCGUAGUAAGUCGCAAGACUCAUAGACCUGUAUGCGGGUUGAGGCAGUGUCCGUUUAGNU
rnacentral:rRNA from 1 species